rnacentral:rRNA from 1 species
AUGGGGUCGCUGGGGAAGGAUGCGGCGACGGCGGGGGAGCGGGUGGUGCUGGCGGUGAACGGCGUGCGGCGCGAGGCGGCCGGCGUGGACCCAUCGACGACGCUGCUGGAGUUCCUCCGCACGCGCACGCCCGUCCGGGGGCCCAAGCUCGGCUGCGGCGAAGGUGGGUGCGGCGCAUGCGUGGUGCUCAUCUCCAAGUACGACCCGGCCACCGACGAGGUCACCGAGUUCUCGGCGAGCUCCUGCUUGACGCUCGUCGGCAGCCUCAACCACUGCUCGGUAACCACCAGCGAGGGCAUCGGCAACACCCGCGAUGGCUACCACCCCGUCCAGAAGCGCCUCGCCGGCUUCCACGCCUCGCAGUGCGGCUUCUGCACCCCCGGCAUGUGCAUGUCCAUCUUCUCCGCCCUCGUCAAGGCCGACAAGCCCGGCGCCGCCGGCGAGCCAGCCCCGCCGCCAGGGUUCUCCAAGCUCACGUCGUGCGAGGCGGAGCACGCAGUCUCCGGCAACCUCUGCCGCUGCACGGGCUACAGGCCCAUCGUCGACGCCUGCAAGAGCUUCGCCGCCGACGUCGACCUCGAGGACCUCGGGCUCAACUCCUUCUGGAAGAAAAGCGCUGAUCGUGCCGAGGUCGGCAAGCUGCCGGAAUACUCCAGUGGCGCCGUCUGCACCUUCCCGGAGUUCCUAAAGUCCGAGAUCAAGGCCUCCGUUGAUCAGCAGACGAACAAUGUGCCGGCGGCGAUCGCCGGCGAGGACGGCUGGUACCAUCCCAGGAGCAUCCAGGAGCUCCAUAGCCUCUUCGAUUCCAACUGGUUCGACGGGAAUUCAGUCAAGAUCGUGGCGUCAAACACCGGCGCCGGAGUGUACAAGGAUCAAGACCUGUACGAAAAGUACAUCGACAUCAAAGGGAUCCCGGAGCUUUCCGUCAUCGACAGGAGCAGCAAGGGGGUGGAGAUCGGGGCGGCCGUGUCCAUCUCCAAAGCCAUCGAGGUCUUCUCCGAUGGCACUCCGGUCUUCAGAAAGAUCGCCGGUCACCUCAGCAAGGUGGCCUCGCCGUUCGUCCGCAACACGGCGACCGUCGGCGGGAACGUGAUCAUGGCGCAGCGGCUGCAAUUCCCAUCGGACAUCGCCACCGUUCUUCUCGCCGCCGGCUCCACGGUCACCAUCCAGACGGCUUCCAAAAUGCUGUGCCUCACAUUGGAGGAAUUUCUGGAGCAGCCUCCCUGUGACGCCAAGACCAUACUGCUCAGCAUAUUUGUCCCGGAUUGGGGUUCAGACAAUGUCAUCUUCGAGACAUCUCGUGCAGCACCGAGACCGUUCGGCAAUGCUGUGUCCUAUGUGAAUUCUGCAUUCCUGGCAAGGACUUCAGGGGAUGCAGCAUCAGGGGAGCUCAUCGUCGACGAAAUCUGCCUCGCGUUCGGCGCCUACGGUGUCAAUCACGCGGCACGGGCUUGGAAGGUGGAGGAAUUCUUGAAGGGGAAAUCAAUGAGUGCAUCUGUGAUACUUGAAGCGGUUCGGUUGCUGAAAGAUGCUAUCUCGCCGUCAGAAGGCACCACACACCCUGAGUACAGAGUCAGCUUGGCUGUCAGUUUCUUGUUCAGUUUCCUGUCUUCACUUGCUAAUAACCUGAAUGAACCGGCGAAGGCUAUUACUACCAAUGGUUUAUCUACUAAUGGAACCAUGAAUGGUAAUGGCGCGUCGUCACUGGAAAAGGAAAGUAAGGUUGCCAGCGAUGAUUUGCCGAUCCGCUCAAGGCAAGAACUGGUUUUCACUGAAGAAUAUAAACCUGUCGGCAAGCCGACAACGAAAGCCGGGGCCGAGCUACAAGCUUCUGGGGAGGCUGUGUAUGUUGAUGACAUCCCAGCACCCAAGGAUUGCCUCUACGGAGCAUUUAUCUACAGCACACACCCUCAUGCCCAUAUCAAAGGUGUCAACUUCAAAUCAUCUCUGGCUUCAAAAAAGGUCAUCACGGUUAUCUCGGCAAAGGACAUUCCUGCCGGUGGAAGGAAUAUUGGAUCCAGCUUCCCGGGGCUAGGAGACGAAGCGCUCUUCGGUGAUCCGGUUUCUGAAUUUGCUGGUCAAAACGUUGGCGUUGUGAUUGCUGAAACACAGAAGUACGCCUAUAUGGCGGCGAAGCAAGCCGUCAUCGAGUAUAGCACCGAGAAUCUCGAGCCGCCCAUUCUGACAAUAGAGGAUGCCAUCCAACAUGACAGCUACUUCCAUCCUCCCCCGUUUUUGGCUCCUAAGCCAGUUGGGGAUUUCGAGCAAGGGAUGUCUGAAGCUGAUCACAAGAUUUUAUCAGGAGAGGUGAAACUUGAAUCACAGUACUACUUCUACAUGGAGACUCAGACCGCCUUGGCCGUCCCCGACGAAGAUAACUGCAUCACCGUCUAUGCCUCAACUCAGAUACCCGAGGUCACGCAGAAUGUCGUCGCGGACUGCCUCAGCAUUCCGUACCACAAUGUUCGCAUCGUCACAAGAAGAGUUGGCGGCGGCUUCGGCGGGAAGGCAAUGAAAGGAUGCCAUGUGGCAUGCGCGUGUGCAGUUGCAGCGUUCAAGCUGCGGCGCCCAGUCCGGAUGUACCUCGACCGCAAGACGGACAUGAUCAUGGCAGGAGGGCGGCACCCGAUGAAGGUGAAGUACAACGUGGGGUUCAAGUCGGACGGCACGCUCACGGCGCUGCACCUCGACCUCGGCAUCAACGCCGGGAUAUCGCCGGAUGUGAGCCCGGCGCUCCCGUCGGCCAUCGUCGGUGCUCUGAAGAAGUACAACUGGGGCGCCCUGGCCUUGGACGUCAAGGUGUGCAAGACCAACGUCUCGUCCAAGUCAGCCAUGCGCGGCCCCGGGGACGUGCAGGGCUGCUUCAUCGCGGAGGCCAUCAUCGAGCACGUCGCGUCGGCGCUCGCGGCCGACACCAACGCCGUCCGGAGGAAGAACCUCCACGGCUUCGAGAGCCUCACGAAGUUCUACGGCGACGCCGCCGGCGAGGCCUCGACGUACAGCCUCGUUGAAAUAUUCGACAAGCUGGCUUCGUCGCCGGAGUAUCGGAGCAGGGCGGCCGCGGUGGAGCGGUUCAACGGCGGGAGCAGGUGGAAGAAGCGGGGCAUCUCCUGCGUGCCGAUCACGUACGAGGUGAGGCUCCGGCCUACGCCCGGGAAGGUGUCCAUCAUGAACGAUGGGUCCAUCGCCGUCGAGGUCGGUGGCGUGGAGAUCGGGCAGGGGUUAUAUACCAAGGUGAAGCAGAUGACCGCGUACGGGCUGGUUGAGCUCUGCUCCGACGCCGACGAGCUCAUCGACAAGGUGCGUGUCAUCCAGGCCGACACGCUGAGCAUGAUCCAGGGCGGAUUCACCGGCGGGAGCACCACGUCCGAGACCAGCUGCGAGGCUGUCCGGCUGUCGUGCGCCACGCUCGUCGAGCGGCUCAAGCCCAUCAAGGAGAGCCUCGAGUCCAAGUCCGGCAAGCCUGUGCCAUGGAAGGCCUUGAUUACCCAGGCGACCAUGGCGAGCGUGAACCUGUCGGCGCAGGCGUACUGGAAGCCUGACCCAGCCUUCGUGAAGUACAUCAACUACGGUGCCGCCGUCAGCGAGGUUGAAGUCGACGUGCUUACUGGGGGGACGACGAUCCUGAGGAGCGACCUGGUGUACGACUGCGGGCAGAGCCUGAACCCGGCGGUGGACCUCGGCCAGGUGGAGGGCGCAUUCGUGCAAGGGGUUGGGUUCUUCACCAACGAGGAGUACACGACGAACGCGGACGGGCUGGUGGUGAACGACGGCACCUGGACGUACAAGAUCCCCACGGUGGACACCAUCCCGAAGCAGCUCAACGUGGAGCUGCUUACCAGCGCGCGCGACAAGAAGCGGGUGCUCUCCUCCAAGGCGUCCGGCGAGCCGCCGCUGCUGAUGGCGGCGUCGGUGCACUGCGCGAUGCGGGAGGCUAUCAGGGCGGCCAGGCAGGACUUCUCGGCCAGCUCGCCGCUGACGUUCCAAAUGGACGUGCCGGCCACCAUGGCCGACGUCAAGGAGCUCUGCGGCCUCGACGUCGUCGAGAGGCACCUCGAGAGCCUCUCCUCUGCCGCCGCCGGUCCCAACGCCGCCGUCAAGGCGUGA